rfam:Brachypodium distachyon strain Bd21 chromosome 1, whole genome shotgun sequence.
AGAGUACUCCCUCCGUCCCAUAUUAAGUGACUCAAAAUUGCCUAAACAUGGAUGUAUCUAUGUCUAAAAGGCAUCUAGAUACAUGUAAUAGAAAGUCACUUAAUAUGGGACGGAGGGAGUAGUAU